AGCAGAUGUCCUCUGUCGUUCUGUGACCAAUAUUGAGCUAAUUGGUGAAAAAGAUGGAAAGGUCCCGAGGCCAGUCUGUACCCUCAUACCUGGGAUGGUCAAUUUUCACAUUGAUAUGCUGUUGUCUCCCAGUUGGAAUAGCUGCUCUAAUUUGCUCUUGCAGGGUAAACGACGCCUCGAGCGCCGGGGAUAGCGUCCGAGCGACAGAAGCAUCCAGAAAGGCGAAGAUUCUCAAUAUUGUCGGACUCGUGAUUGGCAUUAUUGUGAUAAUCAUAGUUGUUACGUUUUCUUUACUUAAGGGGAAACAGCACUAAUGGACUGACUGAACAUGCAUCAACGCCGCUUUUGUAUUUUGUAGCACAGACCUCUGCUUGUCUUUUGGGAACUCAGUUUUUACUGUUUUUUAAAUAAAAAGCGGUGUUUUUGUUAA